rnacentral:tRNA from 1 species
GCCGUCGUUAGCUUCCGCCCUGUAUGAUCAGAGCCUUUCAAGCUUAAAACCGGAGUUCGAAUCUCCGUGAGGGCACCA